AUUGAACGCUGGCGGCAGGCUUAACACAUGCAAGUCGAGCGGGGGGAGGUAGCUUGCUACCUAACCUAGCGGCGGACGGGUGAGUAAUGCUUAGGAAUCUGCCUAUUAGUGGGGGACAACAUUUCGAAAGGGAUGCUAAUACCGCAUACGCCCUAAGGGGGAAAGCAGGGGAUCUUCGGACCUUGCGCUAAUAGAUGAGCCUAAGUCGGAUUAGCUAGUUGGUGGGGUAAAGGCCUACCAAGGCGACGAUCUGUAGCGGGUCUGAGAGGAUGAUCCGCCACACUGGGACUGAGACACGGCCCAGACUCCUACGGGAGGCAGAAGUGGGGAAUAUUGGACAAUGGGGGGAACCCUGAUCCAGCCAUGCCGCGUGUGUGAAGAAGGCCUUUUGGUUGUAAAGCACUUUAAGCGAGGAGGAGGCUACCGAGAUUAAUACUCUUGGAUAGUGGACGUUACUCGCAGAAUAAGCACCGGCUAACUCUGUGCCAGCAGCCGCCGUAAUAC
rnacentral:rRNA from 1 species